UUUCAUUCCCUAAAAAAUGCAAUACACAUUAAUGACAAGUAACUCAACGUUACCUCUGAAUUACUUAACAUUUACAACUAAUAAAGUACAUAUAUACUGCUAGGACAGAGGAGGAGGAUGAUGGAGAGUAGUAUAAGACAUUCAUAUACUUAUCCCUACCCCUCUCUGCCACGGACGACAAGGAACAAGAUGGUCGUUCAAUCGGACGACAUAGCUAAUGGUCCCAACGCCACGAACAGGAGAGCAAUCUCUUAUACUCUCCCGUGGCCUCCCGGCGGCCGCUUUUGCCUCUGUAGAUCAGCAACGGCGAGAUGCGGUCUCGCUGCUGGGCGCCGCAAAAUCCGCGUGCGGCUGGAGCACUCGGUCAGAUAUAGACUCCAAGAUAAUCUCCUUCCCAGCUUUGCUUUGGUGAUCCAUGGGCAAGCCACAAGAUUUGGUGAAGCCGCUCCCUUCCCCGUUCCCCUCUCAGAGCUGCCAGAGGAGAGAAAAGGGGAUUUACCCUCUCAAAGAAGAGAUGUAAAUUCUGUAAAGAAAAAAAGGUUGUCCACGUGUGCUGGGAUGGGUAGCACGUUGACUAUAGUCAGGCGACUGUAGCUUAU
rnacentral:rRNA from 1 species